GAGAAAUUCUUUAAUAUCUGUUACAUAUAAAGACGGAGAAAAGAUCUGACUACCAUCAAUGGAUCUCGGUACUUCACAAACUACCUCGAGAUCAUCUUCGAUCUGUACGUCCUCGUCACCACGGCCAACAGCCCCGACAUCAUAAUGCCGGCAUACAACGCCAGCUAUUACUUCGCCAUCUUCUUCAUCCUGUACAUCCUCAUCAACAACUACAUCUUCAUGUCCGUGUUCUUGGCCGUCGUCUACAACAACUACAAAUACCACC